AACUUUCGGCAAUGGAUCACUUGGCUUUUGCAUCGAUGAAGGACGCCGCGAAAGUGCGAAACGUAAUGUGAAUUGCAGAAUUCAGUGAAUCAUCGAAUCUUUGAACGCAUCUUGCGCCCCUUGGUAUUCCGAGGGGCAUGCCUGUUUGAGUGUCGUGACCUCCCUCAACGACCUUUCCUUUGUUUCCUUUCGGAAAACAAAGGGAGGGGGCGGUUGGAUUUGGACGUCUGCGGCGGGGUCUUACCCGUCGCUCGUCUCUAAAUGCAUUAGCAGCCGGUCUCCUUUAAGGUGAAGUCGGUCCAGACGACGGUGUGAUAAUUGAGACGCCUUGCCGUCGAGCGCCGUCAGGGUCGACCUUUUGCCUUGGGGGGCCAUUGCUUUGUUGGACGUAUGUCGCUUCAGUGCCAUCUGACCUCAAAUCAGGUAGGAUUACCCGCCGAACUUAAGCAUAUCAAUAAGCGGAGGCU
rnacentral:misc_RNA from 1 species